rnacentral:rRNA from 1 species
GACGAACGCUGGCGGCGUGCUUAACACAUGCAAGUCGAACGGAAAGGCCCUGCUCUUGUUGGGUGCUCGAGUGGCGAACGGGUGAGUAACACGUGAGUAACCUGCCCUUGACUUUGGGAUAACUUCAGGAAACUGGGGCUAAUACCGGAUAGGAGCUCCUGCUGCAUGGUGGGGGAUGGAAAGUUUCGGCGGUUGGGGAUGGACUCGCGGCUUCUCCGCUUGUUGGUGGGGUAGUGGCUUACCAAGGCUUUGACGGGUAGCCGGCCUGAGAGGGUGACCGGCCACAUUGGGACUGAGAGACGGCCCAGAGUCCUACGGGAGGCAGCAGUGGGGAAUAUUGCACAAUGGGCGGAAGCCUGAGGCAGCAACGCCGCGUGCUGGAAGACGGCCGUCGGGUGGUAAACCGAUUUCGCCUGGGACGAAGCGUGAGUGACGGUAAUGGGUAAAGAAGCGCCGGCUAACUACGUG